rnacentral:rRNA from 1 species
GGAUGCGAUCAUACCAGCACUAAUGCACCGGAUCCCAUCAGAACUCUGAAGUUAAGCAUGCUUGGGCGAGAGUAGCACUAGGAUGGGUGACCUCCUGGGAAGUCCUCGUGUUGCAUUCCCA